GCCCCCAUCGUCUAGAGGCCCAGGACGCAUCCCUUUCAAGGAUAAAGCCGGAGUUCGAAUCUCCGUGGGGGCACCA
rnacentral:tRNA from 1 species